rnacentral:lncRNA from 1 species
AUUCUAUCACUGGUUCCGUGUUUUUCACACUCCUGCCCACCUUUGUGGGCAUUUCAGUGUCUCGGGGGUUCUGUUUGCCAGUGGUAAGAGUUUUCACCUUCUUUCUCAGCCUGUUCAAGGAUGUAUUUGGCCGGCCUGUCUUUGACAGAGCCUCCUGGGUUGUUAAAUUCACAUUUGGCGAAAAUGUCGCAAUGCGUCUCUUGACUUGCACGUCUCAAAUAGAUCAGAGGCGUCAUGCCCACGGCAUCGAGGAAAUUUUCGCAAACUCGGAGGGCCGAGGUCCUUUCUCUUCUUCUCUUUCCGGCCGCCAGGGCACCACGGCUGAAGUUGGGAUUUCCUGGCUCGGGCGACGAAAUUGUGCUUUGCUCAGCGGAACGCAAAUUGUUUUCUUGCAUUCGAUUUUCCUGUCGGUUUUCACUUCUGCCGGUAGGCUGUCUAGUUGCGGCGGUCUGGUUCCCUGGCUGAUUUGCCUCAGACGACUGUUUCCUCGUUGACGUGAACGUUUUCUUGUCCACGAGGAAAGGGGGAUUUCUACUGGGGGCGAUUCUUGAUUCGAGUGUUCCUGCAAACAGUGCUAGAACUUUCUCGAAGGCGACACCGUUUAAUGGAGAACGCGGUUGUGAUAAAAACCCGAGUUCAUUCCCAGCUUGAGGAACCUCUCGGAAUGGAUUCUUCUGGAGCUGCAAACGCGGCAUUUCGCUCGAGACUGUGACAGGAGUUGAGAGUGAAACGGACCCGGUUGGCAUGCAAGAUGCACCAUAGAGGCCAGCAGAAAUCCGUGAGCUGGACUGGGAAAUAGAAGGUCGCGGAAAAACACGGUGCUGCCAGAGGAGAACCCUCGGGGUAAAUGAAAACGUGGGAAGGGCUGACCGAAGCGACAUCUUUCCGGUUUUGGGUGGAAGCAGUGGAAAAACGGUCAUCGCAGAGAGAAGCCCCUGUAGACGUUCCAGUAAUAAACCGACGUCAGCCCCUGUCAGUGGGAGACGAACUCAAAGGAAAGAAAGAACUCGACUAGCAAGUGUCCUACGGAGAGCAGAGAACCGCAUCAGACUGCAGUCCGACAAAAAUUGACUACGACAACAAAACCCCAAAGCCUGAUUCUAGUCAGUACGACGGGAGUGCCCCAAAGGAAACAAAGCUUGGGAAGCGACUUCGAUGACCAGCUGCCACAAGACUGUACGCGCCCGGAUCAUCUGGAGAGCAGGUCACCGAUCAUCAAAAGCAGGAGCGAACUUCAGCGGGUAACACGGAGAAAAUUGGUUGUUAUCCGAGGAUAAUCUGUUGACAUGGUAACGGGAGGCGUGGGAGAUACUUUGCACGAGAAACGGGAGGGCAAGAAGGUUCCCUCAGUGCGCAAAACGUGUUUCGAUCUGGGAUACGCAAGGAAGUUGAAAAAACAGCUUCACUCGCAAUGAUCAAUGUGUCAGUCGAGCUCGUUACCAUCUGUGCAUUAAUUUAUUCCUAUCUGGAAGGCAGCAGGAAAACCAAGUGAACGACACUCUGUGUACUCUUAGAAAGGUAACAUCAAACCUCGUGCAAUGCGACAAUGCCCCAGUGAGAAGCGCGUUUCAGGGAAGACAACAGAACGAAAAAUAACAGCGUAGUGAGGCGUGUCAGUAGAAAUGAGGCAAACCGGAAAGAACCCCAAACGGAGAAUUGAUGAAAACCUGAGUCUGUCCGUAGGAGGAUGCCUCAUAAAGUAACUCAACAUUGCAACUGAAGAAAAAAAAGUAAAUAUGUAGAGUAGGAGUGACGAAAUCAACUGGGAGAAAUGUGAACGGUGACAAAUAUGGCAGCGGACUCAGACGAAGAAGAGACUGGAGUUGACUGGCCGCAAUCAUGGCAUGGCGUCUAGCUGGAAGUGCGUAUUUUCGGUAAAUAUCCUGAGUGAAAAAGACGUAGAACAUCUAGAAGGGCCAACGCGCAGUUCCCCUGACUAACCCGGUGCUUCACGCUUGGGUGUUUCUUCGUCAGCCAGGCUUGUGUGGCCUGCGUUGGCGAAGAAAUACGGAGGGAUAGGAAUGUGCAGGUCGAUGUCUCCAGAUUGAGGCCUACAGUCGAAGACAGGCUCGCGUACCCGGCCGUAUGCUUGAUGAUACCUUAAGCUAGACUCCUGAGUACGGCGUCCCGAGGAAGGAACGAAAUGAAACGAACAAGUCCACUGUCUAGUCGGUUUGUAAAAUGGUUUUGGUGACUUUAGGGAGAAGAAGCCUGAGGUGUGUGCUCGGUGUGUUGGUGCUUCCUCGCGCCAUCAUUUUUCAAUGCUUCAACGCGUCUAGGGUCCGGCUUCCCUGCA